rnacentral:rRNA from 1 species
GACGAACGCNGGCGGCGUGCCUAAUACAUGCAAGUAGAACGCACAGUUUAUACCGUAGCUUGCUACACCAUAAACUGUGAGUUGCGAACGGGUGAGUAACGCGUAGGUAACCUGCCUGGUAGCGGGGGAUAACUAUUGGAAACGAUAGCUAAUACCGCAUAAUAUUGAUUAUUGCAUGAUAAUUGAUUGAAAGAUGCUAUUGCAUCACUACCAGAUGGACCUGCGUUGUAUUAGCUAGUAGGUGAGGUAACGGCUCACCUAGGCGACGAUACAUAGCCGACCUGAGAGGGUGAUCGGCCACACUGGGACUGAGACACGGCCCAGACUCCUACGGGAGGCAGCAGUAGGGAAUCUUCGGCAAUGGACGAAAGUCUGACCGAGCAACGCCGCGUGAGUGAAGAAGGUUUUCGGAUCGUAAAGCUCUGUUGUAAGAGAAGAACGGGUGUGAGAGNGGAAANUCACAC